AGCAGCCUGCAGUUGUAAGAGGGAGCCAACUGUGAGGGACUCCAGGGAAAAUAGCCUUUGGAGUUUGUGAUUUAUAAAAGACCAGGAGGGCUCGAGAGUAUAGGAAGUGGCCCUGGGAAGAAGCCAGGUGGGUUGAGGCUACUUGGGGGCAGACAGACUAAUUGUUUAGAGCUCCCAGGGCCAGGAACCCAAAAGCUUGCCUCCAGUCAAGCAAGCAAGUAUAAAUAUAAAAGGCUGGAUUGCUGUCAGUUGAAUGUAGUGUUACCUUUUUUAAGCCAAAGGAAGGGCUGGCCAGGCAAACAAGAGUUCCAGACUACUGGAUCCUGGAGCCAGUGAUUAUAUGCAUCCUGCAAAUAACUAGGCUCAGAAAACGAAAGCACACUCUACUGCGUGCACCAGCGAGGACUAUAUAUUCUCUUGGACCUGCAAAUAAAUCCUUUGCUUCAAGGUGUAACAAGAUUGCCACAGGUAUCAGGGUGAAUCUCAUUUCAUGAAUUUCAUUAGGAGGCUGGUAGUUCUUCUAACUGCAAACCACCAACUAGACUCCUCAUCUAGAUGGAAGUUAUCCAUUUGGGAAAGAAACAAUUUAAAUGAUAUGAGGAUCAUGGGCUAUAUGGAAUAAAUGGCGGCUUGUUGUUAAGAAAAGAGUUUUGCACUGCAGACGUUGUACUGUGUAUGCGAUGUUGGGGGAGAACGUGACCAAGAUCAACAACAACAACAGAUGGAAUAAAGCACCUGGUGGGGCGGUUGAAGGCGAAGUAGGAACUGGGCAGCCUUGGGGCUCAUUCAUGUUCCUCUCUCGCAGCCAAUUAUAUGAAAAUGUAUGAAUAUGCAUUUCACUUAUCAAAAUUAAUUAUUUAUAUGGGGCCCAGAUUAAGACUUUCCAGACACUUGCUCACCCCUGUUGUGACCGAGGCUCAUCUUGCUUGUGUGAACACUGAGGCGUAGGUGUGUGUGCGCAUAUGUAUGUAUGAACGUAUAUAUACAGACAUGGAAUAGGUUACCACUUUGCUGAACAUGUAAACGCAGAUUGCACAUGGUGUAAGGAGGCACCAAAUUGUGUCUCACCAACAGGCACUGUCAAUUACGCAUCAUUCUCAUUGAAUAGGGGUUCUUUCCUAAUUAGUAUUAUUUAUAUGGUACCAACAUUGCACUAGACAUUUAGCGGACAAGUAUAUGGUCAAAUACAUUUGCCCCAGACAGCUUACACAAUCUACGUACCCAAAGUACAGAAUGAUGGGGUGCUCCCUCUCUCCUGUCCACAGUUUUUGGGGGGGGGUUGGAGGGGUGGGGGGCUUUCCUGCCUCUGCUGCUGCACUCUGGCCAAAGAUACUUCAACAUUUCUCCUUCAAAAUGGUAUCACUGGAUUAUAAUAAAAGUUGGAGGGAAAGUGCAAGGAUUCCUACAGAUCCAAUAUCUAUGGGGUUUGGGUUGGUAGUGAUGAUCUUGAUAGAAAAGAAGAAUUUUCAGCAGCCGCAAUAUGUCAAUUCCACUUCUCUUCUUUUACGACAAGGACUGUGUCAAUGGACAGUUUAUUGUUCACAGAUUAUUGGUUAUGCACCAGACCAAUGUCAUAAUCCAUCAGGGGACUUUCUUGAAUCAGAGUGGGGUGACUUUUGCAGGGUGAGAAUGGGGAUCACAUCGGUUAUUGCCUCUGUGUAGAUAAAGGGUAUGUGUAGGGGAGAGGAGCUGUGUGUGUCAGCAUGGACCCGGGCUGCCAUGUUCAUGGGAAUGCAAGAUGAUUCCAAGACUUCAGGCAUUACGAAAGGCACCAAGUUCUGCCUCAGCCAAAAUUGUCUGGCCACCACACCACCCCAGCCAUGACUUCUCAUCACGUCACCCUCCUCUAAUGUGACUAGUCUGUCCCUACCCAUAUCUUUUGAGAUUUUUAUCACAUUCUCCUUUUCCCCUGACAUGUGCAGGACUGCCUCGCUUCCCUGCUUUUUCAUGUAUGGGCUCCAAUACCGAGUUGGCUCUUAUUUUAGAUGGAGAUUACUGCCAGAGUCUGUUGCCAUCUAUGUGCAGUAUUUGUUAGAUGUCAAUCUCCAUGCUUUCUGAACAUUGUGGAAAUUACAUAAAGGUUAUUUGAAAAGGCCUGGAAAUUGAUUCUGUUCUUCCCAUUCUGGGACUGGCUAUUUACGUAAAUCUCUCCCUGCCUUUCUCCUACUCAACAUACUUUUCUUGUUUCUUUUGCUCCCUCCUGGACCAAGAAGCUUUGCAUUUGCUCCUUUAAAACAAUGUGGAAGUUUGCAGGAAGGAAGGCAGAUUAAUACAGGUUUAGCUGGUGGAUGCAAUAUUAGGGUCAUACAAAUAGAGAUUAUAAUAUUUUCCAUUUCUCUUCUUUUCGGAUGAGGAC